ensembl:lncRNA
GGCAAGUAAUACAUUUACAUUACGUUCUUUUUAUUUUUUCAGGUAAAGUAAAUUGUAUUUAUAAUUUCUUAGUAGUAGUAAGCACAUACUUUUUUUUACAAUUAGCAUGCAUAUAGCAAAUAUAAUAUGAUUAGGCAAUAUUAUAUAGGUCAAAUCAUUAGGACACAGAGAUAUUGCACCUCCAGGUGCAUACGACCUAGGAUCUCGACAAAGUAACCGGAUUACUUCAUCACAAGGAUGAACCUCUUCAGGGGGGUGAAUGGGUCCAGCACUUCACUAUGGCUUGACCAAUCUAGGGUGAAUGGGUCCAGCACUUUACUAUGGCUUGAACAAUCUAUAUACCAGGAGGCGGGCCACAAGGAGAGCUGGACAGGGCCAUAGAAGGGUCUGCUUAUAUGUGCGAGAAGGAACGGGAGGAGCACUGCCAGAACCCUACAAAAUGACCUCCAGCGGGCUACUGGUGUGCAUGUUUCUGACCAAACUGUCAGUAAGAGACUCCAUGAGAGUGGCGUGAGGGCCCAACGUCCUCUAGUGGGACCUGUGCUCACAGCCCAGCACUGUGCAGCUCGAUUGGCAUUCGCCAGGGAACACCAGAAUUGGUGUCCCACUCUCUCCACAGAUAAGUGCAGGUUCACACCAAGCACAAGUGACGGACGUGAGAAUGAAUUACAAAUAGUAAAGUAAAACAUUUGAUAUUUAAUAUAUUGAGUUAAUUGAGUCCCAAUGUGUGAUUUUUAGUGCUCCCUUAAUUUUUUUGUGAUUGUGGAUGUUUGCUGAUGAGAUCACAUGCUAGGGUUUUACAUCUGAAGGUCAGUGUUGGUGGCCUACAUUAGCCAAAUACAUUCACCUAAAAAUGUGCCACAAACCCUUAUACAACAUAUUUGUUUGAUAUAUUAUAAAAUGUAUCUGAAUUGGAUUUUCCCUAAAAAUCAUAACACAGUAUAAAAAAAAUUGCCAUCUGUUAUGGUUUUAACAGAACUAUCGAAACUACACAAAUGCUCCAGUGCAACAUUUUUACUAGCCUGGUUGACUUGAUCAGUGUCACUGUAUUUGAAGGAGACUGGGGUGAUGAGCAGCAGCAAGGCUGUGAUGAGUGAAGUGUGAAGGUUGAGCACCAUCUCAGAGCACGAGCCAGACAGAGUGUACACAGACCUCAGCCCUAAGGAUCCCCUGGGAGUCAUUGAGUGGGCCGGAUCCAGUUGCUCCCUGUGUCCCAGCAGACACAGCAGCAGUGAGAAUCACUUCUCGUCCUCUGAAUCACAUCAGACUGGUGCUGGGGGAAAGGCCAGCCCUGGCUGGGGGUGUUGAUUCUCAUACAAAAAAAAAGGAGAAUGCUGUCAAAAUAAAGAGCAGAAUUAUAUUACUAUAAUGAUAAAGUCUUGUCAACAAAAUCCAUACACAAAAUCCAUGACCAUUAUGUUGCAGGUUCAUCUGUAGUCAUUAUUUGGCUGUGUUGGGCAAGUUCAACAAAUCCCAAUAUUUUCACCUGAGGUCUGCUACCAAUGAAUACAGUUCCCUUGUUAAUUCCUCAAUUUGAUAUCAAAGCCAAAAUUGAUCAAAUGUGCACUAUGUCAAUGUUUUUUUCUCUCAUGUUUAACUUGCAUGUCUGAGUUUUAGAUCAGAAAACCAUGAUGUAG